rnacentral:tRNA from 1 species
UUAACUCAGUUGGUAGAGUGUGCGACUCUUAAUCGUUUAGUCAUGGGUUCGAGCCCCAU